rnacentral:lncRNA from 1 species
GGGAUGAGGAGUCUAGUGUUUGCCCCAAAUUAGGCUGCCUAUAACCCCCUACCCAUCUCUUUCCAGCUCGGAACUGCUGAUUUCUCCUUCCCAGCUAUGAGACUGAAAUGUCAGGUAACAAACAUGGACCUCAGCUGUUUUCCAGAGGGCAGGAUAGGAGAACCUGGACCUCGGGAUCAGUAAUCCAGUCAUCUCUCAAGAUCAUGUUCCACUGCUCUACAUGAGGAUUACUGCAGAACUUGGGGAAGCUGCUCAACACUUCACCUUGGACUCGAGGACCUUCUCAAUCCCUCAAAAAUGGACCUUCACUCCUUUGAGACUACAGAUUGCCAGGUACCCCCUCCUCCUGCUCCCCUUCCUCCUCCUGCUCCUCCUCCUCAUAAUAAUAGUAAUAAUAAUAGCAAUAAAGAUGGUAUUUAAGUGCUUACUAUGUGUAAAGCACUUUUCUCAGUGCUGGAGUAGGCACAAGCUAAUCAGGUUGGAGACAGUUCCUGUCCCACAUGAGGCUCAUAGUCUUAAUCCGCAUUUUACAGAUGAGACAACUGAGGCACAGAGAAGUGAAGUGACUAGCCCAAGGUUGAC